rnacentral:rRNA from 1 species
CGGCGUCUAAUCUAAUUAGAGGAACUUGUUAAAUAAUCGACAAUCCACGAUAAAUUUUACUUAAAUUAUAAACUUAUAUACCGCCAUCUACAAGAAUUAUUCUAAAUAUAUUAUUCAAAAUAACAACUAAAAAGUUAGGUCAAGGUGUAGUCUACAUUUAAGAUUAUAAUGAGUUACUAUAAAAUGUAUUUAUGGAAAAAAUUAAAAUAUUAAUUUUUGAAAAAGGAUUUAACAACAAUUAUAAAAUAAUAUUUUAUAAUGAAUAAGACUAAAGACGUGU